rnacentral:rRNA from 1 species
CCUACGGGAGGCAGCAGUGGGGAAUAUUGCACAAUGGGCGAAAGCCUGAUGCAGCGACGCCGCGUGAGGGAUGACGGCCUUCGAGUUGUAAACCUCUUUCAGCAGGGAAGAAGCGAGAGUGACGGUACCUGCAGAAGAAGCGCCGGCUAACUACGUGCCAGCAGCCGCGGUAAUACGUAGGGCGCAAGCGUUGUCCGGAAUUAUUGGGCGUAAAGAGCUCGUAGGCGGCUUGUCACGUCGGGUGUGAAAGCCCGGGGCUUAACCCCGGGUCUGCAUUCGAUACGGGCUAGCUAGAGUGUGGUAGGGGAGAUCGGAAUUCCUGGUGUAGCGGUGAAAUGCGCAGAUAUCAGGAGGAACACCGGUGGCGAAGGCGGAUCUCUGGGCCAUUACUGACGCUGAGGAGCGGAAGCGUGGGGAGCGAACAGGAUUAGAUACCCUGGUAGUCCACGCCGUAAACGGUGGGAACUAGGUGUUGGCGACAUUCCACGUCGUCGGUGCCGCAGCUAACGCAUUAAGUUCCCCGCCUGGGGAGUACGGCCGCAAGGCUAAAACGUUACGAAGUAGUAGGCGUGAGACGUGCGACGGACGACACGACGGGAGGUAGGAGG